rnacentral:rRNA from 1 species
GAGUUUGAUCCUGGCUCAGAACGUACGCUGGCGGCACGCCUAACACAUGCAAGUCGAACGAAGUAGCAAUACUUAGUGGCAGACGGGUGAGUAACAUGUAGGUAUCUGCCCUUUGGCCUGGAAUAACACGAGGAAACUUGUGCUAAUACCGGAUAAGUCUUUACGGAGAAAGCUUUAUGCACCAUUGGAUGAGCCUGCACUUGAUUAGUUUGUUGGUGGGGUAAUGGCCUACCAAGACUUUGAUCAAUAGCUGAUUUGAGAGGAUGAUCAGCCACAUUGGGACUGAGACACGGCCCAAACUCCUACGGGAGGCAGCAGUGGGGAAUCUCGCACAAUGGAGGAAACUCUGAUGCAGCGAUGCCGCGUGAGUGAAGAAGGCCUUUGGGUUGUAAAGCUCUUUCGUCGGGGAAGAAAAUGACUGUACCCGAAUAAGAAGGUCCGGCUAACUUCGUGCCAGCAGCCGCGGUAAUACGAAGGGUCCUAGCGUAGUUCGGAAUUACUGGGCUUAAAGAGUUCGUAGGUGGUUGAAAAAGUUGGUGGUGAAAUCCCAGAGCUUAACUCUGGAACUGCCAUCAAAACUUUUCAGCUAGAGUAUGAUAGAGGAAAGCAGAGUUUCUAGUGUAGAGGUGAAAUUCGUAGAUAUUAGAAAGAAUACCAAUUGCGAAGGCAGCUUUCUGGAUCAUUACUGACGCUGAGGAACGAAAGCAUGGGUAGCGAAGAGGAUUAGAUACCCUCGUAGUCCAUGCCGUAAACGAUGUGUGUUAGACGUUGGAAAUUUAUUUUCAGUGUCGCAGCGAAAGCAAUAAACACACCGCCUGGGGAGUACGACCGCAAGGUUAAAACUCAAAUGAAUUGACGGGGACCCGCACAAGUAGUGGAGCAUGUGGUUUAAUUCGAAGAUACGCGCAGAACCUUACCAACACUUGACAUGUUCGUCGCAACUUUAAGAGAUUAAAGUUUUCGGUUCGGCCGGACGAAACACAGGUGCUGCAUGGCUGUCGUCAGCUCGUGUCGUGAGAUGUUGGGUUAAGUCCCGCAACGAGCGCAACCCUCACUUUUAGUUGCCAUCAUUAAGUUGGGCACUCUGAAAGAACUGCCAGUGAUAAGCUGGAGGAAGGUGGGGCUGACGUCAAGUCCUCAUGGCCCUUACGUGUUGGGCUACACACGUGCUACAAUGGUAUCUACAACAGGAAGCAAGACUGCGAAGUUAAGCAAAUCCCUAAAAGAUACCUCAGUUCGGAUUGCACUCUGCAACUCGAGUGCAUGAAGCUGGAAUUACUAGUAAUCGUGGAUCAGCGUGCCACGGUGAAUGCGUUCCCGGGUCUUGUACACACCGCCCGUCACACCAUGGGAGUUGGUUCUACCUUAAGGCAAGGUUUCAAACCCUUGACCACGGUAUAGUCAGCGACUGGGGUGAAGUCGUAACAAGGUAACC